rnacentral:lncRNA from 10 species
CUUUCCUGCUGGCAUAGAAAUGGUGGUAGGGACACUUCCUGGGUCAUGACAGGAUCCCCUAACUUCAAGAGCUUAUUUGGAGAAAGCUAAAAUGUCAAGACAAACGAAACAUCCACUCUUUUUCCUGCUCUCUUUGAUUCUGCUGCAUCAGAAGUGAACCUCACUUCUCCAGGGCUCUAUUUUUGCCUAGGGCUGGUUACUUGUAUGAGGAUCCCAGGGCUUCAUUGAUUGAGUGUAGCAAAAUGUGGCAAGCUAGGAACCAUUCAUUUUGGCAGUCAGCAAUUAUAGGAACAUAAGCAAGCUAGAUCUGGCAUGGUCAACCGGUAUCACGAUGGUCCCAGCAGCACUCCAUUCUCAGGCAUUUAUUCUCAGGGCCCAGUCAAUGUCAUAAGUGGUAUGAUCUGAUCUAAGUCAUCACGUCUGGGCUACAGGACGCUAAGAAAUUAUGCUGAUUAUCAUAUGGGGAAAAUAAAUGAGAGUCUCCAACUUGCAAAAAAUUGGUUUGUAUUGUUCCCAGAAACAAGCUGAAAUGUCCACAGAAGCCAGAAGGAUAAGACAAAUGUGUGAAUUCGGUAGAUCUAAGAAAAUAAGACUUAGUAUGGAUUGUGGGGAAAUGAGAGUAAAUCUCACCAAAAGGUAUUCAGAUUAGAGAAAAAACUGUGCUAGAAGUUCCUACAAAAUAAAGUCUGCUGACCUGCCAUCCUGCCACAUUCAUCUAUAUCCUUAAAAAAUAAAUUUGUUAUGUUUUUAGCUAGGAAUUUUAGUUAGAUUCUAGGUUAAGCUACAAAUGAAAAGACUUUAAAAUUCAGUGGCUCAAAUAUGACAGACAUUUAUUUUUAUAACAGACUAGAAGUAGGUGGACAGUCCAGGGCUGUAGGCAGCUCUGCUCCAUGAGUACUCUCAGGUAUCAAAGGUACAGCUCAACCAUC